AAAAACAUGUCCUUUUGUUUAUUUAUUUAAGGUCUGACCUGCCCAAUGAGGAAUUGAAUGGCCGCAGUAUUUUAACUGUGCUAAGGUAGCAUAAUCAUUUGUCUUUUAAUUGAGGGCUGGAAUGAAGGGUUGGACGAGGUAUUAACUUUCUUUGAUUUAAUGAGGAGAAUUUAAUUUUUGAGUUAAAAAGCUUAAAUUUAUUUGUGGGACGAGAAGACCCUAUAGAUCUUUAUAGUUUUAUAUUUUAAUAAUUUGGUGAUUUAUUUGUUUUAAGUAGAUGAACUAUUUUGUUGGGGUGACUGUAGAAUUUAAAUAACUUCUAUUAUUUUAUUUCAUUAAUUAAUGUUUUUGUGAUCCAUAUUUUAUGAUUAUAAGAUUAAGUUACCUUAGGGAUAACAGCGUAAUUUCCUCGGAGAGUUCAUAUUGAAGUGGGAG
rnacentral:rRNA from 1 species